CCUACGGGUGGCUGCAGUGGGGAAUAUUGGACAAUGGGCGAAAGCCUGAUCCAGCCAUGCCGCGUGUGUGAAGAAGGCCUUCGGGCUGUAAAGCACUUUCAGUGGGGAAGAAAGCCUUGGGGCUAAUACCCUCGAGGAAGGACAUCACCCACAGAAGAAGCACCGGCUAACUCCGUGCCAGCAGCCGCGGUAAUACGGAGGGUGCGAGCGUUAAUCGGAAUUACUGGGCGUAAAGCGCGCGUAGGCGGUCUGAUAAGCCGGUUGUGAAAGCCCCGGGCUCAACCUGGGAACGGCAUCCGGAACUGUCAGGCUAGAGUGCAGGAGAGGAAGGUAGAAUUCCCGGUGUAGCGGUGAAAUGCGUAGAGAUCGGGAGGAAUACCAGUGGCGAAGGCGGCCUUCUGGACUGACACUGACGCUGAGGUGCGAAAGCGUGGGUAGCAAACAGGAUUAGAUACCCGGGUAGUC
rnacentral:rRNA from 1 species